UGCGCUAGUCAGGAGCACAGGCAAGGGGU
rnacentral:piRNA from 1 species